rnacentral:lncRNA from 1 species
GGCCUUGCUCUUAUGUCAUCUGACUAAAGGUUUCAUAGACCAAAGAUAAACAUCCAACCUGUUGGAAUACUGAAACAAUUGCUGCCUGCUUUCCACACACUACAUAAAAUAUGUGGAUAUCCUAAAUUCUACAAAAAAAGAUUUGUAAGCAAAUCAAGCAAUACUGGGACUCCCUCUUCUCCAGAAGAGACAUCCUGGCCUCCAUGCAGAGGAAUGUGUGGAUAGACAUAUAUUUAAGGAAGACACUAAACCAGAAAAUACUACAUUACACCCUCUUAAAAGACUUCUAAGAUUGUUGUCAUGCCUACCACUGACAUUCAGAUGAUGUGUAUUCUUGAUUGUGAUUUCAUGUUUGGAGCUGAUGAAGGAGUUUGAAGUCUCCAGAGCAGCAAGGAGAGUGGGGAGUAGAACUCAUCAUCUUUAGGUCACUCAUCCCCG